rnacentral:tRNA from 1 species
AGCUCAGUUGGCAGAGCGCAUCCUUGGUAAGGAUGAGGUCGGCGGUUCAAAUCCGCUC